AGAACGAACGCUGGCGGCAUGCCUAAUACAUGCAAGUCGAACGAACUCUUCGGAGUUAGUGGCGCACGGGUGCGUAACGCGUGGGAAUCUGCCCCUUGGUUCGGAAUAACAGUUGGAAACGACUGCUAAUACCGGAUGAUGACGAAAGUCCAAAGAUUUAUCGCCAAGGGAUGAGCCCGCGUAGGAUUAGCUAGUUGGUGAGGUAAAGGCUCACCAAGGCAACGAUCCUUAGCUGGUCUGAGAGGAUGAUCAGCCACACUGGGACUGAGACACGGCCCAGACUCCUACGGGAGGCAGCAGUAGGGAAUAGUUGGGCAAUGGGCGAAAG
rnacentral:rRNA from 1 species